AUGACCAUUAUGAUUCCUUAUAUACAACAGAGAAUGGACUGCAUCAGACCAAACUUACUAAGUCUCCCAUGCUCUGCAACAGGAAUUAGCAAUACUGUACGUGGUCUGUCAGAUAUUGUUGCACUGCAAUUCCCACCAUCCAUAGGUAAUACAGUUAAUGAUGAAGAAAGACUGGGCAGCUUGGAGGACAUAUCUCAACACCACCUGAUGAGCAAGCCAUUGUCCACCGUUUCUUUGGACCGUUUAUGGAUCUCUCUGCUUCUUGGUGAGAAAAUGCCCCAUGAAUGGAAUUGCUGCAUGAUACGUCUUCCUCAGCUUUAGCUAAACCAUAGACAUUUAAAAAUGUUCUAGACCUCUGAAGAUGACUAAGCCACUGCUUGUCCAUGGAUAUAAAGGUCUUCAUGUUUUUUUGACCUGUGACCACUUUUAGCCUAAGCAUGCAUUUGAAGAACUAUAUCUUAACUUUUUAGGAGCAUUUUUUUUAAUGAUAACUCUGUUGCUGUUGAAAGACACUUUAACUGAGAUUAGAACUACAGUGGUGCCUCGCGUAGCGAUGAUAAUCCGUGCACCAAAAAUCGCUGCAAAGCGAUUUCAUCGCUAUGCGAAAUAAAAAAAAGCCCAUAGGAAUGCA
rnacentral:lncRNA from 1 species